AUACGGGGGGUGCAAGCGUUAUUCGGAUUUAUUGGGCGUAAAGGGCGCGUAGGCGGCUUGGUAAGUCAGAUGUGAAAGCCCGGGGCUCAACCCCGGAAGUGCAUUUGAAACUAUCAGGCUUGAGUAUGGGAGAGGGAAGUGGAAUUCCUGGUGUAGAGGUGAAAUUCGUAGAUAUCAGGAGGAACACCGGUGGCGAAGGCGACUUCCUGGACCAAUACUGACGCUGAGGCGCGAAGGCGUGGGGAGCAAACAGGAUUAGAAACCCGGGUAGUCC
rnacentral:rRNA from 1 species